CCACAGGGCACAGCCCUCCUGGACAGGCUCAACUCACCCUGUGAUCAGCUCCUGGGGCACCACCUGCCCAAUGUGAGCUGUCCUUGGAGCCAUUUUGGGACUGAAAGUUGUAAAGGCUGGAGGUGUUGAGGCACAUGGACCCUGCAGGUCUUGUUGGUUGCUGGAACCAGGACAUCACCAGCAGCAGGGGACAAUGGGGACAUUCCACAUAGGGCUGAGCCAUUGCUGUGUAACAAUGGGCUCUUUGCCAGGACAGGGGGACACGUGACACAGGCACAGAACAAGGAGGAGGCCGAAGAAGGAGUGUGCUGGCUGUGCACCUCUUCUUCUUCUGCCUCCUCCUACCACCUCCUGCCACCUCUUACCACCCCCGCCCUACCUGCUCCUCUCCAGAGCAAUAGCACAAGAGGCUCUUGUUUAUGGCAGUUCUGUGCUUUUGGACAGAUCAGCAGCAAUGGCAGCAUUCACUCUGGGCCAGAUUCUGGAGAUUGCCCUUGGGUCAUCAAAAGCUGGAGCCGUUGAUUUUGAGCAACUGUACAAUCUCCUGAAUGGGAUGCUUUUGCACCUGGGCCUGCGGGAUCUGGCUGUCCAGGAGAACGGGGAGCCACUGGAGGGGUCUGAGAGAAGCCCUUUCUCUGCCGCUUUCCUCGAGGAGUUAAUGAGGAGAGUGGAAGCCAAUGAAAAAGAUAUCACUGAGGUCAGGACUCUGUGCCAGGACCUCCGUGAGGAGGUCAUUGAGAUGAAGGUGGAGCAGUCCCGCAUGAUGGAGGACAUGCAGAGGAUGCAGGAGGAGUUUGCCACGAACGUGGAUGAGCUCCGUAACCAGUUGCUGUCUACCAUGACGGAAAUGCUCCAGGGCAAAAAAGGCUCCCGGGACGUGGAUACUCUCUCUGUCCAGUCACGGCCGUUGGAUGACGACCUGAUUGUCAUCGGCAAUGAAAUUACCCUCGUGGAUAGAUCUGUAUCGAGGCUUGGGGACAUGCGGCCUGCCAGCCCUAUGCCCCAGAGGGGCAAGACACCCAGCAGAGGGAAGGGUUUGCUGGAGCCAAAUGCCAGCAGCCAACCGGUCUCCGAGGCACAUGACAUGGGACAGAACGUGGGACGGAGUGACAUGGGACGGAGGGGCAUGGGAUGGGACACAGGACAGAGGGACAUGGGACGGAGGGGCAUGGGAUUGGACACAGGACAGAGGGACAUGGGACAGAGUGACAUGGGACAGAAUGGGGGACAGCAGAAGGUGAGACGAAAGGUGCAGCUGAGCGACACAGGACAGGAUGACGUGGGACAGAUCAAGGAUGGAGAGAUCAAGAUGAGUACUUCCAAGGCAGAGACUCUUCCCAGUGACCUGGAUGUUCCUCCUGAGAUCGCCGAUGUGGGAGAGAUCAUGGAUGAAGAGAGGAAGAUAAGUAUUUCUAAGGCAGAGACUCUUCCCAGUGACCUGGAUGUUCCUCCUGAGAUUAUUGAUGCAGGAGAGAUCAUGGAUACAGACAUCAUGGAUGAAAAGAUCCAAACGAGCAUGUCUAAGGUAGAGGCUUUUCCCAGCCUCCUGGAUGGUUCCCCUGAGAUGACCAGUAUGGGAGAGAUCAAGGAUGGAGAGACCAAGAUGAGCUUCUUCAAGGCUCCUCCUGACGUUCAGAAAAAAGGUUUGGAUAGUGGUUUCACUGCCUCGGGAAUGCAUCCAGGAGCCCCUGGCACCCACCCCCCAGUCCAGCAGGUGCAGCCAAUAGGAGUCCCCCCAGGAUCCCAGAAACUCUGGACCCCAGACAAGAGUGUGGCUGGGACUAGCAGACACCCCCCGACGCGGCCAUCGGCGCCGCCGCAGUCCCCCAGCUUCUCUGGGCACCUGCCCCGUGCUUUCAAGCGGCACCCUUGUGUUCCAGUACCGAGGCGCAGGGAGCUGGCACCCCCGGGCUAUUCCCGCCGAUCACCGCUGUACUCUGGGGGCAAACACACCACCACCUACGCCGUGCAGCCCAUGGAGCCCCUCCUUCCAGACCCCAACAAGCCUGGUGUGUGUGAGCUGAUGGGCAAGGACGGACUCUUGUACCGGGGCCGGACUCCCUAGGGCUGGACUGAGCACCGACUCCAGCCUGCAGCAAUAAAGGGAGAUGAGCAGCCGAGCAACUGUGCCUCCUGAGUGGAGCAGGAUCUUCUCUUCGUGCACAAGGAGAGGCUGGCAGCAUCCCUCAUCUGAGAACAGCCCCUGUGAACCCCCUCCCAGGGCCUGUGUCAGCCUCCGG
rnacentral:lncRNA from 12 species